GACAGAGGGUGCAAACGUUGCUCGGAAUCACUGGGCGUAAAGGGUGCGUAGGUGGUCGGGUAAGUCUGAUGUGAAAUCUCCAAGCUUAACUUGGAAAUGGCAUUGGAUACUAUUCGGCUAGAGGGUUUGAGGGGGGACUGGAAUACUUGGUGUAGCAGUGAAAUGCGUAGAUAUCAAGUGGAACACCAGUGGCGAAGGCGAGUCCCUGGAAAACUCCUGACACUGAGGCACGAAAGCUAGGGGAGCAAACAGG
rnacentral:rRNA from 1 species